GCAGAUGUAGCUCAAUGGUAGAGUGUAACCUUGCCAAGGUUAAUGUUGUGGGUUCGAAUCCCAUUAUCUGCU
rnacentral:tRNA from 1 species